GACGAACGCUGGCGGCGUGCUUAACACAUGCAAGUCGAACGGAAAGGCCCUGCUUUUGUGGGGUGCUCGAGUGGCGAACGGGUGAGUAACACGUGAGUAACCUGCCCUUGACUUUGGGAUAACUUCAGGAAACUGGGGCUAAUACCGGAUAGGAGCUCCUGCUGCAUGGUGGGGGUUGGAAAGUUUCGGCGGUUGGGGAUGGACUCGCGGCUUAUCAGCUUGUUGGUGGGGUAGUGGCUUACCAAGGCUUUGACGGGUAGCCGGCCUGAGAGGGUGACCGGCGCAAUGGGGAUGGAGGAACGGCGGGGGAGCAGCAGGGGAGGAGGGGCGGGGGGGAGUGCAGGGUGGGCGGAGGCGUGCUGGAGCAACGCCGGGUGGGAAAGGAGGGUGGUGGGGAUGUAAACGGAGGUGGCGUGUGACGAGGGGUCAGGGAGGUGAAUAAGUAAAGAAGCAGCGGCUGCAUAAGU
rnacentral:rRNA from 1 species